rnacentral:misc_RNA from 1 species
UCUAUCGUGUAGGUCCCCGAGGAUGAAAUCCCUGGUAAUACUCAUCGCCGUGCUCGCCGCAUCGGAGGCAGCUCCCCAAGGCCAUGGGGGUAUCAGGUUCACGCAAAAGGAGUACAAUGGGCUGCAGCAGGCGCUGGGCUACCGCGUCCCAGUGGGCAUCUACAGCGCCAACCAAGUAUUCUCAAUGGUGGAGGAAUACCCCACAGACUACAUCGUCCUCAACCUCCCCGGAUUGAGCGCCGGCGGCGGAAGCGGCUACGCCUCACGCAGUGGAGUUGCUCAAGCUAGGACUGGUGCUCUGCCUGCUGACGACGAAGUGGCUGAGACUUUCAGCGAAGUGGCUGAAGAGGCCGUAGAAGCCGUCGAAGAAGCUGCAGAAGAAGCUGCAGAAGUAUCAAUCAACAGGAACCUGUUGGUGCAAGAGGCCGUCCUUGCCAUGCAGGAGCAGCAGUCUGCAGCCUCGGCAGGGGACCUCGUGGAAAGCAGAAGUAGCUCUUUACCAGCAGCGGAUGCGCUCAACAGCGAGACAGAAAUUCCUUCAGUAGCAGCAGUUGACACAGCUUCAGCGCCAGUAGAAACCGCGGUAAGAUCAACAGGAGUCGAAGCCCCGGCUGCACCCUCAACAGCAACAGAGACAGAAACAGCACCAGAAACAAUGGCAACAUCAGCAGCAACUGUAACAGAAGCGGCAACCGAGUCAGAGGCAACGGCAACCGAUACAGCAGUUCAACCGGCAGCUGCUGGAUUGGCUGCUGACGUUGACGAAGCAGUUGCUGCCGUCCAAGACGUUGCUGCCGUUGCCGACUCCGUUCGGACCAAGCGCCAGGAGACGGAACUCACGGCCGCUGACGAGCUUUCCUUUGCCCUCGCUGGCCUUGGUUCCCUCAUAGCGCGCCAGCACUAACCGGCUAUCUGCGCGGGUCCUCGUCGCGCAUGCUGUCGAUGGAAACUGCCACGGCUCGAGGAUCCAAUGUUGGUCGGUACCUUGACGCCACCUUUAGCGCUAACGUGGACCUCAUUCAAGGCUUCGAGAACACCGGGCUCCUUGUCCUCGACCAGGUGGAUGAGCGUCUCCAGAGACGC